AACCACUGCAGCACACACAACACAUUUCCACUAUGACUUUAGCUACAUGUUUAAUGUUUCUGAUGCUUUCAUGGAUUUCUGGUGUUUGCAGUCAGACUCUGACUGAGUCUGAAGCGGUGGUAAAGCUCCCUGGACAGUCCCACAAACUGACCUGUACAUAUGCAGGAAUAUCAGAUAGUGAUGCUGCUAUCAGCUGGAUCAGACAAGCUGAAGGAAAAGGACUGGAGUGGGUUGCCCACAUUUCUGCUCCAAGUGGAACUAAUAAAUAUUAUUCCACGUCAGUCCAGAAUCGCUUCACCAUCUCCAGAGACAACAACGUGGACCAGGUGUAUCUGCAGAUGAACAGCCUGACGUCUGAAGACUCUGCUGUUUAUUAUUGUGCUCGACAGACACAGUGAUACAGAAAGCCACAGAGCUGUA